AACAUUUUCAUAGAGUGACUUUGCUAACAGAGUCUUCAGACCACGAGGAAAAUUUUUAGACCAUAAAGCAGAAGUUGAGGGAAAGGUAGUGGUGAGAAAUGGGGAAAGAGGAUACUGGGGAGAAUAAUAAUAGUGGUUUAAAAUAGUGGUAGUUCACUCAGUUUCUAUUUGGUGACUGAAAUAUUGAAAAAUUUACUUAGAUUUCAGUCACAGAACAGGUGGUAUUAUGAUACUGGCAACAGAAUGUAGUGAUUAAAAGCACAUGCUUUUGAGUCACGCAUACUGAAGCUUAGACCCUGGUGCUUCCUAGCUGUGUGAUUUGGGGAGACUUGUUUAACCUUGUAAGCUUUAGUUUUGACAUCUGCAAAACAGGAAUGAUAGCAGUUACUGCUUCAAAAGGCUAUUGAUUAAAAUGUGUUGGCCUAUAUAAAGUGACAGGCACAAUACAGUUCUUAAUGUUAGCUCUUAUCACUAAUACUAUUGUCAUCAUCUGUAAGCAGGAUUUCUUGGUGAAAAUUUUCGCUGAUCAUUUUCUUAUAAACAUCUGUGAACUGAUGAGUUUAAUUAGGGUGCUGCUGAUGAAGCUUCUGUGUGGUCUUUUUAAAAAUUCAGAAUAGUACCGGAUUUGGACCAAAAAGUGCUCUUUUGUGCUGAAGUCUUCAAAAUGUUUUCCACAAAAGUGAGUUUGUUUGGGUUAAUUAUGUGUGUGCAUUAUCCUAUGAACUCUCAAGAUAAAGGGCCUACAGCUGGAGCUGAUUGUAUGCAAUGAGAAGGGACAUUACACUGAUUGGCUAGUUGCUCUUGUCAUUGUUUGUCAUUGUCUUUUUUAUUCUUUUUUUUCUCAUUUGCAUCAAAUAUCUGCCUAUAAUGGUGAACACUGAGCAACUGGCCUGGUUUCAAGGAAAAAAAUCAUGUGAAUUUGAUUGAAGUGCUCUCUGUGGGGUGCACCACACAGACGGGGACAUAUGUGCAGCCUGGCUGUGUGUUUGCUAAUAGGAAAGAGGACUGAGGCCAAGAAAGAGAGGCUGGAGGUGAGAUGACUCAUUCUCUCAAACAGAAGAGGGAGCACUGAAUUUGAACAUGAUGCAGACAAAGGAAGGCAAACCAGCUGAAGAAAGAGGUGCCAGGAGACUUGCAAGGAGACAUGGAAUAUCAGUAUGGUGGGAUGAACUGGGAGGUGAUUACAGACAUUAAGGUUACCUAAGGCAUAGUACAAGGAAAUGUGGAACUCUAGAAUCAUUGAAUCCUGGGAUUAUCUGAAUAAUAAAUGCCAUCACAUUCUACUUUUAAUACAUACUUCAUCUCUUUCACCUAGUGCACUAUGAGUUACUACGGGGAAGAAUCUGUGUGCCUAUCUUUCUGUUUUCAGUGAUGAUAUACUGAAAGAAUGGUGUAGGAAUAGAAAUAUUCUAUUUACCAGUGCUAAGGCUUUUUCACAAAACCAGGCAGAGAUCUGCUCAUUUUUACUCUGUAAACUUGGAAAAGUUAAUUUAUUCAAUCUCUAUUUUGUCCUAACUAGACUGAUCAUUAUAUCUACGAUGAAUAUCAACAAAAUGGUAAUAAAAAAUAGUGUAGUGCCUGGAAAAUCCUUUGACAGAAUUAUUUGGAGCAAGUUUUUUUUUUUUUUAAAUUUGGAAACAAAACAAAAAAUUUAAACAAAACUUCAAGAAAUAAGCACAUAGCAUUUACCAUGAUGGUACAAUAGCAGUGGAUGAAGAAAUACCAGAAGAGCUGCCUGCAACCAAACUCAUAUGGAACCGUGAGUCAAAGGUCAAACCAGUAACUAUCUAAGACAGUCAUUACUUGAGAACGAAACGGUCUUCAUUUUUCAACUUAGCACUAUGUAGAAUAUGGUUAUCACAAUUUAUUCUAUUCCCAAGACAACAUUUCAAGCAAUAAAGUUUAUAUUCCAGAAAGAAGUUGUUCAGGUCUUAUACCUUAAUGACAACCUUUGUUGUCCAGAAGAUAGAACAACAUCAUAAGAACAAACUUUUACAUCAAAAACAAACAAGCAAACAAACAAACAAACAAAAAUUCAGAAUUGCUUGAGAAUGAAAGUGGUAGUGGCUUCAGGUGGUAAAGCAGCCCACAACUGUUAACUUUAACUUUGACUGAAGUCAUUAAUGGUAUAUUUUUUGCCCAUCCAGUUUUCUCAAGACAAAGUUCCUUCCUGAAUAGCAGCUACUGCCUGAGACACAGUAGGUGGGCAGCAUGUACUUAUUAAAAAAGUAAUUAAUGAAUGACAAUAAUGAAUAAAGGAGGAAAGGAAAGAACUGACUGACAAAUUCAAGGAAACUAAUGAAACCAUGUUGCACAAGAGGCAGUAUAGCUUGGUAGUAAUGAGUGGUGCUAGCCAGAUUGCCUCAAUUUGAAACCCAGUUUUGUCCAUUAUUAAACAUAUGACUAUGGGCAAGUCAGAAAACCUGUCUACAUCUCAAUUCUUUUUUGCUUAUAUAAAAUGUACUGCUGUUAGAAAUAUGUUACAUUACAAAAAAGCCCUUUAUAAAAGAACAUGGAACUUAGUAAAUGCCAGGUCAAUGUUAGCUAUCAAGAUUAUUACAAAGAUCUUAUCUAACACAAAGCUUACUGAACACAAAGGUCAUUGGCAACUAUGAAAUUAGACCACUGCGAUUAAACACAGCUCUCUAAAGCUGAGGGAAGUAGGCAAAUAAAUAUAAAAUUUGGAGGUUCAACCUCCAAAACUUGCACAGGUCAUAAAAAUUAAUUUUCUGUUGAGAUUGGGGGUUGAUCCUCCCCAGACACUUCUCACAAAAUUGUUGGAGAUAAUGGCUCCUUGCAGACAGAUUAGAAGUCCUGUUUUACAAGGGUAGACAUGUGACUAGACAGAUACACUAAUCUUACUUGAGAGCUACCUACUAUUAAUUUACAAUAUUCGAUUAUUAUCCUGUAGAUUUUGGCAUACAACAGUAAAUGGACAUAAGGCAGUUUUAUUAACACAGUCCCAAAUGCUUUGUUGCUUAUAAUCGCCUUAAUUUUGCUUUAGGUUAUCAUAUAACUCCAUGGUUCAGAAAGACUGGCUGUGUGUCAAUGUCAAUCACUGCCUAGGACUACUGAAGCAUGUGAGAAGCUGGCAAAUGAAAUAGCUAUAACCCUGUCUAAGGGGAGGAAAGGAAGAGAUCCAUUUACACAUGUAGCAGAACUCAGAUUAUAAAUUCUUGGAAGUCAGGAGCUGUGUCUAUACUGGUUGCACAAAGGACUGUGGAAAUACGCUUAUCAGUAAGCCAGGGUGUUGUUUCUAUUGUUAUGCAAACCCCACCUCUCCAGCAGUCUAUAAAUAGUAAUUGCUCUCCCUAAUAGGAGACACAUUAUGUUGGAAGAACAACAGAUAAUCUCUAUGCCAUGUGUAUCUAAGAAAAUUAAUGAAAAUUUAGAUUUGUUUUGAAAAUGUCAACAAAAUAGAUACAUUGUACAUGUACUUUUGAAAUCUCUUACUCAUAAAUCUGCUGUCUCUUCUUUUCAAUUUUUGUCCAAGUUCUAAAUUGUGGACCCCUCACAAAAUCAUAUGUUGAAGCCCUAACCUCCCUGUGACUGUAUUUGAGGAUAGGCUCUAUAGGAGAUAAUUAAGGUUAAAUGAGUUAAAGAUGGUGCUGUAAUCCAAUAGGACUGGGCCUUGUAAGAGGUGGCUUUGUAAGAAGAGAAAGAGAGAGACAGAUCUCUCUCUGCAUAAACACCCAGGAAAGGCCAUGUGAGGACACAGUGAGAAGGUGGCCACCUGCAAGUCAGGAAGAGAGCCCUCACCAGAAACCUAAUCGGUUGGAACCUUGGACUUUGUAGUCUCCAGAAUUGUGAGAAAAUAGAUUUCUGCCAUUUUAAGCCACCCACCCUGUGGUAUUUUGUGAUGGCAGCCUGAACUGACAAAGACAGUCAUACACUGGAAAACAAGAGCUUUAUAAAUAUACACACAGUUUUGCUGGAGUCACACUCACCAUUAGUAGUCUAUCUCCUACUUGCAACCUUCCAUCUUUUUGUGCAGCUCCUCCAUCUAUAAUUUUAGUUACAUAAAUGCUGUUGUCUCCAGGAAUGUGUUGGUUCCCCACACCUCCUGCAAUACUGAAGCCUAAACCUAUAAGAAAGGAACAGAAAAUGGAAAGCCUUGUUUUGUUGUUGUAGUUGUUUUUAGAAAAUGCAGUUAGCCACAUUUUAACAGUUUUUAAAAAUGAAUCCUCAACUUAUUGUAACAGCAAUAAAUAACACUAAAAACUGUAUUUCAAUCUCGUUAUUUAAAUAUUUGAAGAAUUGUUAAUGCAAAUGAGGCAAAGAUUUUGAAGUCAACCCCAUGUGAGUAGUUUUGUUCUAUUUCCAGACUGUAUGCCUAACUGCUGUUCCUCAGCUAUCCUGUUUAUAAGGGUAACUGGCCAGAGCAGGGAUCAGGUGAAGGGUGUGGAGGAAUCCUAGGUGAGCCAGGAAAAAGACAAGUAUAGUCCUGCUCAUUGUUGACUCUAUGGGCUCAUUUUCAUUGCUGUUGUUACUCUAGCAUAGAGAACAGAAGUACUGCCAAUCACUUGGGCAGAGACCUGGAUACUCUUGAUAUUUCAAGAUGAGAAAUAGAAUUGUUCAAAAAUUGCACAAAUUCUGAGGCAAGAGCCAUGAAUAAGUUACACUGUUUAUAUACAUGUAAUAAUUUCAGAGAGAAGAUAAGGAAAAGAAGCUAGAUGCUUGCCUUUCAUGUUUUGUUCUCUUGCCACCUUGUCAUAUUUUAUAUUUCCUAGCAUUUAUUGUUAUUAACUGAUUAACUAAUUGUGAGACUAGUCACACAAAAAAGUGAAUUAUUCCAGUAUACAGUCUAAAAAAUUAAAAAUAUUCCUUAAAAAUAUUCUAUUGGAAAAUAAAGAAUAAAAAGAAUGUUAAAAAAUUAAUUAAUUAAUUAAUUAAUUUAAUUUUUGAGAUAGUCUCGCUCUGUCGCCCAGGCUGGAGUGCAGUGGUAUGAUUUCAGCUCGCUGCAACCUCUGCCUCCCGGCUUCAAGCGGUUCUCCUGCCUCAGCCUCCUGAGUAGCUGGGAUAACAGGCACACGCCACCAUGUCUGACUACUUUUUUAAAUUUUUAGUAGACACUGAAAAUGUUGGCCAGGCUGGUCUUGAACUCCUGACCUCAGGUGAUCCACCUAACUUGGCCUCCCAAAGUGCUGGGAUUACAGGCAUGAGCCACCACGUCCUGCCAAAAACUUUAAAAUGUAUACUUAGGCUAUAUUAUUUUUAUAACAUGGCAGAAUAUCAAAUCAUUUUAAACAUGGCGAUUGUCUCUUUUAAGAGAUGAUUUUCACUGUACUAUGGCUUAUACAAUCUUAACUUAUAUUAAACUAUGAAGCAAUAACAAGAAUAGAGGACAGUCAUGCACUGCAUAACAAUGUUUUGAUCAGUGAUAGAGUACACAUACGAUGAUGGGCCCAAAAGAUUAUAAUGGAGCUGAGAAAUGGCUAUUGCCAAGUGACAUCAUAGUCAUUGUAACAUCAUAGCAUAAUGAUUACUAAGGUGUUUGUGGUGAUGCAGUGUAAAUGAACCUACUGCAUUUCUAGUCACAUAUAUAAAAGUAUAGCAUAUACAAUUGUAAACAAUAAAUAAUACUUGAUAAUGAUAAUAAAUAACUAUGUUCCUGGUUUAUGUAUUUACUACACUAUGCUUUUUAUUGUUAUAUUUGAGUGUACCCCUCUCCUUAUUAAAAAAAAUGUUAAUUGUAGAAAAGCCUCAAGCAACUCUUUCAGGAGGUAUCCUACAAGAAGGCAUUAUUAUUACAGGAGAUGACAGAUCCAUGCUGUAACAUUUUACAUGUUAUUGCUCCUGAACAUCUUCCAGUUGGACAAGAUGUGAAGGUAGAAGACAAUGAUACUGAUGAUCCUGACCCUGGGUAGGCCUAGGCUAAUGUGUGUGUUUGUGUCUUCAUUUUUAACAAAAAGUUUAACGUGUAAAAAAAAAAAAAAAAAAAGAAAAGCUUAUAGAAUAAGAAUAGAAAAAAGAAAAUACUUUGUAUAGCUGUACAAUAUGUUUGUUUUAAGCUAAGUGUUAUUACAAAAGAGUCAAAAAGUUCAUAAAGUAAAAAAGUUACAGUGAGCUAAGGUUAAUUAUUGAAACUUUUUAAAAAUAAACUUAAUCUAGCCUAAGUGUACAGUGUUCUUUAAGUCUACAGUAGUGUACAAUAAUGUACUAGGACUUCACAUUUACUCAUUACUCAUUCACUGAUUUACCCAGAGCAAUUUUCAGUCCUAUAGGUUCCACUCAUGCUAAAUGCCCUGUACAGAUGUACCGUUGUUUAUCUUUUAUUUUUUACUGUACUUUUUCUAUGUUUAGAUAUGUUAAGUUACACAAAUAGUUAUCGUUGUUUUGCAAUUGCCUACAGUACGCAGUAUAGUAACAUGGUAUACAGGUUUGUAUCCAAGGAACAACAGGCUAUACUACAUAGCCUAGGCUUGUAGUAGUCUAUUCUAUUUCAGUUUGCUAAGUACGCUCUAUUAUGUUCCCAUAACAAUGAUGACAUUGUCUAAUGAUGUAUUUCUCAGAAUGCAUGCCCAUUGUUAAAUGACACAUGAAUGUAUUUUAAAAAGUUAUUAUGAGAUCAUUUUAAAGGAAUAAUUAAUAGACUCUUUAAACGUAUAAGAAUUUUUAAAAAUCUCUUUCAGAAUAUGUUUGAAUGCUCAUUCAGUACAAUACUUGCAGCAUACAUUUUCAUUGCAUUUUACAAUCAUAAGAUAAUUAACAUGCAAAUUACUCAAGAAGACAGAUAUUAAUCAAGGGCCUUUUGACUACAGACAUAAUUUCUAUAGCUUACUUGGCUUAAGACUUUUUUAGAAAAACCACACACCUAGUAAAAUAAUAAAGCUAUCAUUAAAAUAUUUGGCAUUUUAUACAACAAUAAUAAAAAAUACUUAAAAAUAUUAACUCUACUUCACUAUACUUUUAUUGAAUAAAUAUUGGGUAAGGUUAUGCACUCUUAAGAUAGCAUAAAUAGUUAAUUGAAAAAUGAUGGCAUAGUAAAUUAUAAAGCAACAUCUCUGGAAUUAUAUUUGAAAUGCAAUGAUCGUUAAAUUAACCAUAAUAGUUGUUAAAAAUAAAUGGAAAAUUGAUUUAAAUUGAUAGGGCAAUUAAAGCAAGUGUUAUCUAAUUUCCUUGUGAUGUGAGUAAUUAUUUUUACUGAUGCUUUGCCACCCCAUGGAACAAUGAAUAUAUUUGUUUGCCUCAGAUUUACAAUUUGUUUAUUAAGCAAAUGAUGACCAAAGAGUAAAAUACCCCAAACUGGCUUUUCCUAUAAAAUUUAAAAUACAUAUCAGCUCAUGUUUCCCAAAACUGUUACUUUAUUAUACAUGAAAAUAGGGAAGUUUUAAAAAAUGUAUUUACAAAAGUUUCUUAGCCACGUGCUAAGGUCAAUCUACCAUAUUUAUAAAAGUACAGAGGUUAUUCCAAACUCUGAAAAGAGAAGGCUAAAACAAAUUCAGAGACUCCAAUUUACAUCCACUAUGCCAGCAGUAAAUGCCACGGUCUUAGCUACAAGAAGAGCUGUAGAAAUAAAUUACCACCAUAAAAACGGGUAAGUUCAACAAACAGAGCAAGUAUGUAGUUGACAUUUGAAGUUGAAGACUGCACAAAGACAAUGAAAGCACUAUGGAUACUGUAGAUAGAUAGAUGAUAGAUAGAUAGAUAGAUAGAUAGAUAGAUAGAUAGAUAGAUAAAAAUCGAGUAACAUUUUUUCUUGAGAUUGGGUUUAUGUGCUUCUUUUUAACUAGUGACUCUAUUCAAGGUGAAGCAAGGUAUUUUUAGUAAAUGUUCCUCUCAGAGCCAGAGCAUGUUUCUGAAUGUACACAACUAGUAAUUUUUCCAAUUUCCUUUACUUUGACAUAACAUGCAUGUGUUUAAAAACAAUUAAAAUUUAUUUAACACUUAAUCAUAUUCUAAAUAUUCAAUUCAGAUGAUGAAUAAAUCUGUAGUUUAUGUCUACAUUGAGAAUUUAUGUUUAUUUACAGGUGGAAAUAUCUAUCUGUGCUAUAAGAUUGCAUCUAUCCUCAUUCAUUUAUUCAUUCACACAUCCAUUCUUUCAAUAAGCAUCUCCUGAGUACAUACUGUGCGUUGUAUUACCUGCUGCUAUCGAGCACGGCCAAAGUAAAUGUAAAGAAUUUUUUUUCCAUUUUUAAUUUUUAGUUGUUAUGGAUACAUAAUAAAUGUAAAUAGGGUGCACAUGAUAAUUUGAUACAAGUAUACAAUGUGUAAUGAUCAAAUCAGGAUAAUUGGGAUAUCCAUUACCUUAAACAUUUAUCAUUUCUUAGUGUUAGGAACAUUUUAAUUCUACUCUUAGUUAUUUCGAAAUACACAAUACAUUAUUAACUAUAGCCACCCUAUUGCACUACUGAACACUAGAAAGAUCUAUUUCUUUUAUCUAACUGUAUUUUUUAUCCAUUGACCAGAAACACUGUAAUAAUAAUGACCCAAAAGUGAGUUCAUAUGAGUGAGUGUAGUUGAAACAUGUCUGAAGCAAUGUUCUAAACCCAGAUAAUGCAAGCAAUUUUUGGAUAGCUAUUCUAUGAAGACAAAUGUGGGCUAGGACCACUGAGCAAUAAGACCAAACACAAAUUACCUGGGUUUUUCUUGCAUAGACUCUGUUAAAGCAGGGGCAGGCUCUCUACCUUAUAAGACCUAGACUGGCUAAGGCAUGCCAUGACUAAUGCCCCUGUCCCCCAUCCCUGUUAUUAAUCUCACAUGUCUUCCCUUCAUUAGCUAAUUUUUCCCUCCUUCAUUCCACUCAAAACACACUUGCAUCCUUGACGUUUCUUUUUUUAUUUUUAUUUUUUUGCCUUUAACUUUUAAGUUCUGGGGUACAUAUGCAAUAUGUCCAGGUUUGUCACAUUGGUAAAUGUGUGCCCUGGUAGCUUGCUGCAAAGAUCAACCCAUCAAUGUGAUAUUAAGCCCAGAAUCCAUUAGCUAUUCUUCCUGAUGCUCUUCUUCCCUGCUUCCCUCCCCUUGACAAGCCCUAGUGUGUGUUGUUUUCCUCCAUGUGUCCAUGUGUUCUCAUCAUUCAGCUCCCACUUACAAGUGACAACAUGUGGUGUUUGGUUUUCUGUUCCUGUGUUACUUUGCUGAGAAUGAUGGCUUCCAGCUCCAUCCAUGUCCCUGUAGAGGACAUGAUCUCAUUCCUUUUUAUGGCUACAUAGUAUUCCAUGGUGUAUAUGAACCACAUUUUCUACAUCCAGUCUAUCAUUGAUUGGCAUUUAGGUUGAUUCCAUGUCUUUGCUAUUGGGAAUAGUGUUGCAAUGAAAAUACAUGUGUAUUUAUCUUUAUAAUAGAAUGAUAUAUAUUCCUUUGGAUAUAUACCCAGUGAUGGGAUUGCUAGGUUGAAUUUUUUUCCUCUAGGUCUUUGAGGAAUUGCCACACUCUCUUCCACAAUGAUUGAACAAAUUUAUAUUCCCAUCAACAGUGUAAAAGCAUUCCUUUUUCUCCACAACCUCACCAGUGUCUGUUGUUUUUUUGACUUUUUUUUUA
rnacentral:tRNA from 10 species